rnacentral:tRNA from 1 species
GGAGAGGUGACAGAGUGGCCGAUUGUGCACGCUUGGAAAGCGUGUGUGCCUUCACCGGUACCGUGGGUUCGAAUCCCACCCUCUCCGCCA